AUUGAACGCUGGCGGCAGGCUUAACACAUGCAAGUCGAGCGGAGAGAGGUAGCUUGCUACUGAUCUUAGCGGCGGACGGGUGAGUAAUGCUUAGGAAUCUGCCUAUUAGUGGGGGACAACAUUUCGAAAGGAAUGCUAAUACCGCAUACGUCCUACGGGAGAAAGCAGGGGAUCUUCGGACCUUGCGCUAAUAGAUGAGCCUAAGUCGGAUUAGCUAGUUGGUGGGGUAAAGGCCUACCAAGGCGACGAUCUGUAGCGGGUCUGAGAGGAUGAGCGGCCACACUGGGACGGAGACACGGCCCAGAAUCCUACGGGAGGCAGCAGGGGGGAAUAUUGGACAAUGGGCGGAAGCCUGAUCCAGCCAUGCCGCGUGUGUGAAGUAGGCCUUAUGGUUGUAAAGCACUUUAAGCGAGGAGGAGGCUACUUUAGUUAAUACCUAGAGAUAGUGGACGUUACUCGCAGAAUAAGCACCGGCUAACUCUGUGCCAGCCGCCGCCGUAAAAC
rnacentral:rRNA from 1 species